rnacentral:misc_RNA from 1 species
CAAAAAAAAAAAAAAAACAAAAAGAGUAACAGUAUGAGGGACUUGAUUACACUACCUGUUCAGAAGAGGCAAACUUCCUCUUUUGUAGGAGAGCUUAGAAAACUGGACGGGAUUGUAUCCUCCUCUUCUUUAUAAGGGAGAUUGAUUUUACUAACGUUAGCAUGGAUAGGACUACAUGUGUCAUGCAUUCACUUGUGCAUCAGGUAACAUCAAGGUUUCAUAAAAUUCCAAACCGUUUAACUUAUUGUGCCGCUUGGGGGAGGGGGUGUCCCCGUUUUGAGGAAAAAUUGUUCUUCAGAGAAUGAGCUAUUCCUCCUCUGAGUAGCUCAUUCAGAUGUUUAGUGAAAUUACUAACAGAUGUUAAUAAAAGUCGGGUAGGUUUGCGCAUUUCCAUGACUGUGGGGGCUCCCCCUCCUGCCCAAUUAAAAUACUAUUGAAAGAGUUCUGGAUGUUAUGGGUACUUUCGCUUGUGCAAAGCUGGAAGUAAUUUUGUAAAAAGUUUUGGGUCGAUAUUUCUCAUGAAAAGGAUUGAAAAUUUAAUUUUUUUA